GCGCCGUUGGUCCAGUGGCAGGACAGUGGCUUCCCAAGCCACUAGCCCGGGUUCGAUUCCCGGACGGUGCA
rnacentral:tRNA from 3 species